rnacentral:lncRNA from 10 species
UUGAUUUUAUUCCGCUAUAUCUUAUUGUCAGUUCUUGUGGGCAUGUUGGAAACCAGUUGAGUUUUUUUAAAUUUUUUUUGAGAUGGAGUCUCACUCUGUCACCCAGGCUGGAGUGCAGGGGCCUGAUCUCCACUCGCUGCAACCUCUGCCUCCUGGAUUCAAGCAAUUCUCCUGCCUGCCAAAUCUUCCUUUGAAUUCUAAUAAUUCCUUGCUUCAUUAGUAUUGAUACUAUGAUAGUUAUGCAUAAAGAAUUUUUAUGGUUAUAGCCCUGUCUGAAUUAUCCUGGUCUGAAUUGAGAAUGUAACAUGGCCCUAUUUGUCCUAAUCAAUGUUUAUUGCACUGGAUUUUACUUUGUGUGAACAUUACAUUGCCAUUCCAUUUCUUUUUGUUUACAUUUCUGCAAUAUCCCUUUGUGCAUGCCUUGACUUCUUUUUUUUUUUUUUUUGAGAUGGAGUCUUGCUUUGUCGCCCCACUGGAGUGCAGUGGCAAUAUCUCGGCUCACUGCAACCUCCCUCUCCCGGGUUCAAGCAAUUCUCCUGCCUCAGCCUCCCGAGUAACUGGGACUAGAAGUGUGCACCACCACGCCCAGCUAAUUUUUUGUAUUUUAGUAGAGAUGGGGUUUCACCAUGUUGGCCAGGAUGGUCUCUGUCUCCUGACCUCUUAAUCCGCCUGCCUCGGCCUCCCAAAGCGCUGC